CGGAGAGUAGCUCAGCUUGGCUUAGAGCGCUGCGUUCGGGACGCAGAGGUCGCAGGUUCAAAUCCUGUCUCUCCGA
rnacentral:tRNA from 1 species